rnacentral:rRNA from 1 species
AGUGAACGCUGGCGGCGUGCUUAACACAUGCAAGUCGAACGAGAACGGGUUAUAGCUUGCUAUAAUUGUCAGCUAAGUGGCGCACGGGUGAGUAAUGUGUAGGUAAUAUGCCUCUUACUAAGGGAUAACAAAUGGAAACGUUUGCUAAUACCUUAUACUCCUUAUUAACAGAAGUUAAUAAGGGAAAGAUUUAUUGGUAAGAGAUUAGCCUGUAUUGUAUCAGUUAGUUGGUGAGGUAAUGGCUUACCAAGACUAUGACACAUAACUGGUUUGAGAGGAUGAUCAGUCACACUGGAACUGAGACACGGUCCAGACUCCUACGGGAGGCAGCAGUGGGGAAUAUUGCACAAUGGACGAAAGUCUGAUGCAGCAACGCCGCGUGGAGGAUGACACAUUUCGGUGCGUAAACUCCUUUUAUAUGAGAAGAUAAUGACGGUAUUAUAUGAAUAAGCACCGGCUAACUCCGUGCCAGCCGCCGCGGUAACAC